CAUUUAAAGAGUGCGUAAUAGCUCACUAGUCGAGUGACACUGCGCCGAAAAUGUACCGGGGCUAAACAUAUUACCGAAGCUGUGGAUUGUCCUUUGGACAAUGGUAGGAGAGCGUUCUAAGGGCGUUGAAGCAUGAUCGUAAGGACAUGUGGAGCGCUUAGAAGUGAGAAUGCCGGUGUGAGUAGCGAAAGACGGGUGAGAAUCCCGUCCACCGAUUGACUAAGGUUUCCAGAGGAAGGCUCGUCCGCUCUGGGUUAGUCGGGUCCUAAGCUGAGGCCGACAGGCGUAGGCGAUGGAUAACAGGUUGAUAUUCCUGUACCACCUAUAAUCGUUUUAAUCGAUGGGGGGACGCAGUAGGAUAGGCGAAGCGUGCGAUUGGAUUGCACGUCUAAGCAGUAAGGCUGAGUAUUAGGCAAAUCCGGUACUCGUUAAGGCUGAGCUGUGAUGGGGAGAAGACAUUGAGUCUUCGAGUCGUUGAUUUCACACUGCCGAGAAAAGCCUCUAGAUAGAAAAUAGGUGCCCGUACCGCAAACCGACAC
rnacentral:rRNA from 1 species